rnacentral:rRNA from 1 species
CGUGCUUAACACAUGCAAGUCGAACGGAAAGGCCCUGCUUUUGUGGGGUGCUCGAGUGGCGAACGGGUGAGUAACACGUGAGUAACCUGCCCUUGACUUUGGGAUAACUUCAGGAAACUGGGGCUAAUACCGGAUAGGAGCUCCUGCUGCAUGGUGGGGGUUGGAAAGUUUCGGCGGUUGGGGAUGGACUCGCGGCUUAUCAGCUUGUUGGUGGGGUAGUGGCUUACCAAGGCUUUGACGGGUAGCCGGCCUGAGAGGGUGACCGGCCACAUUGGGACUGAGAUACGGCCCAGACUCCUACGGGAGGCAGCAGUGGGGAAUAUUGCACAAUGGGCGGAAGCCUGAUGCAGCAACGCCGCGUGCGGGAUGACGGCCUUCGGGUUGUAAACCGCUUUCGCCUGUGACGAAGCGUGAGUGACGGUAAUGGGUAAAGAAGCACCGGCUAACUACGUGCCAGCAGCCGCGGUGAUACGUAGGGUGCGAGCGUUGUCCGGAUUUAUUGGGCGUAAAGGGCUCGUAGGUGGUUGAUCGCGUCGGAAGUGUAAUCUUGGGGCUUAACCCUGAGCGUGCUUUCGAUACGGGUUGACUUGAGGAAGGUAGGGGAGAAUGGAAUUCCUGGUGGAGCGGUGGAAUGCGCAGAUAUCAGGAGGAACACCAGUGGCGAAGGCGGUUCUCUGGGCCUUUCCUGACGCUGAGGAGCGAAAGCGUGGGGAGCGAACAGGCUUAGAUACCCUGGUAGUCCACGCUGUAAACGGUGGGUACUAGGUGUGGGGUCCAUUCCACGGGUUCCAUGUCGUAGCUAACGCUUUAAGUACCCCGCCUGGGGAGUACGGCCGCAAGGCUAAAACUCAAAGGAAUUGACGGGGCCCCGCACAAGCGGCGGAGCAUGCGGAUUAAUUCGAUGCAACGCGUAGAACCUUACCUGGGUUUGACAUGGAUCGGGAGUGCUCAGAGAUGGGUGUGCCUCUUUUGGGGUCGGUUCACAGGUGGUGCAUGGCUGUCGUCAGCUCGUGUCGUGAGAUGUUGGGUUAAGUCCCGCAACGAGCGCAACCCUUGUUCACUGUUGCCAGCACGUUAUGGUGGGGACUCAGUGGAGACCGCCGGGGUCAACUCGGAGGAAGGUGGGGAUGACGUCAAGUCAUCAUGCCCCUUAUGUCCAGGGCUUCACGCAUGCUACAAUGGCUGGUACAGAGAGUGGCGAGCCUGUGAGGGUGAGCGAAUCUCGGAAAGCCGGUCUCAGUUCGGAUUGGGGUCUGCAACUCGACCUCAUGAAGUCGGAGUCGCUAGUAAUCGCAGAUCAGCAACGCUGCGGUGAAUACGUUCCCGGGGCUUGUACACACCGCCCGUCAAGUCAUGAAAGUUGGUAACACCCGAAGCCGGUGGCCUAACCGUUGUGGGGGAGCCGUCGAAGGUGGGACUGGUGAUUAGGACUAA